rnacentral:rRNA from 1 species
UACGUAGGGUGCAAGCGUUGUCCGGAAUUAUUGGGCGUAAAGAGCUCGUAGGCGGCUUGUCGCGUCGGCUGUGAAAACCCGAGGCUCAACCUCGGGCCUGCAGUCGAUACGGGCAGGCUAGAGUUCGGUAGGGGAGACUGGAAUUCCUGGUGUAGCGGUGAAAUGCGCAGAUAUCAGGAGGAACACCGGUGGCGAAGGCGGGUCUCUGGGCCGAAACUGACGCUGAGGAGCGAAAGCGUGGGGAGCGAACAGG